rnacentral:rRNA from 1 species
AUAUACGACCGUACCGCAAACCGACACUGGUGCGCGAGAUGAGUAUUCUAAGGCGCUUGAGAGAACUCAGGAGAAGGAACUCGGCAAAUUGACACCGUAACUUCGGAAGAAGGUGUGCCCUAUUAGUGUGUAGUGAACAACGAAGCAUGAAUGGGUUGCAAAAAAUCGGUGGCUGCGACUGUUUAUUAAAAACACAGCACUCUGCAAACACGAAAGUGGACGUAUAGGGUGUGACGCCUGCCCGGUGCUGGAAGAUUAAAUGAUGGGGUGCAAGCUCUUGAUUGAAGUCCCAGUAAACGGCGGCCGUAACUAUAACGGUCCUAAGGUAGCGAAAUUCCUUGUCGGGUAAGUUCCACCUGCACGAAUGGCGUAACGAUGGCCACACUGUCUCCUCCUGAGACUCAGCGAAGUUGAAAUGUUUGUGAUGAUGCAAUCUCCCCGCGGAAAGACGGAAAGACCCCAUGAACCUUUACUGUAGCUUUGUAUUGGACUUUGAACAGAUCUGUGUAGGAUAGGUGGGAGGCUUUGAAGCAGGGUCGCUAGAUCUUGUGGAGCCAACGUUGAAAUACCACCCUGGUGUGUUUGAGGUUCUAACCUAGGUCCAUUAUCUGGAUCGGGGACAGUGCAUGGUAGGCAGUUUGACUGGGGCGGUCUCCUCCCAAAGCGUAACGGAGGAGUUCGAAGGUACGCUAGUUACGGUCGGACAUCGUGACGAUAGUGCAAUGGCAUAAGCGUGCUUAACUGCGAGACUGACAAGUCGAGCAGAUGCGAAAGCAGGACAUAGUGAUCCGGUGGUUCUGUAUGGAAGGGCCAUCGCUCAACGGAUAAAAGGUACUCUGGGGAUAACAGGCUGAUACCGCCCAAGAGUUCAUAUCGACGGCGGUGUUUGGCACCUCGAUGUCGGCUCAUCUCAUCCUGGGGCUGUAGCCGGUCCCAAGGGUAUGGCUGUUCGCCAUUUAAAGAGGUACGUGAGCUGGGUUUAAAACGUCGUGAGACAGUUUGGUCCCUAUCUUCCGUGGGCGCUGCAGAUUUGAGGAAGCCUGCUCCUAGUACGAGAGGACCGGAGUGGACACACCUCUGGUGUAUCGGUUGUCACGCCAGUGGCAUUGCCGAGUAGCUAAGUGUGGAAGAGAUAACCGCUGAAAGCAUCUAAGCGGGAAACUCGUUUCAAGAUGAGAUCUGCCGGGGCCUUGAGCCCCCUAAAGAGUCGUUCAAGACCAGGACGUUGAUAGGUCAGGUGUGGAAGCCA